rnacentral:snRNA from 1 species
AUACUCACAAAGGUGGUUUUCCCAGGGCAAGGCUUAUCCAUUGCACUCCAGAUGUGCUAACCCCCAUGAUUUCCCCCAAAUGUGGGGAAUUCUGCAGCAUCAUUUGUGGUAGUGGGAGACUGCAUUUGUACUUUCCUC